rnacentral:rRNA from 1 species
UACGGAAGGCAGCAGUGGGGAAUAUUGCACAGUGGGCGCAAGCCUGAUGCAGCCAUGCCGCGUGUAUGAAAAAGGCCUUCGGGUUGUAAAGUACUUUCAGUCGUGAGGAAGGUGUUAAGGUUAAUAACCUUAGCAAUUGACGUUAGCGACAGAAGAAGCACCGGCUAACUCCGUGCCAGCAGCCGCGGUAAUACGGAGGGUGCGAGCGUUAAUCGGAAUUACUGGGCGUAAAGGGCACGCAGGCGGUUAAUUAAGUUGGAUGUGAAAUCCCCGGGCUUAACCUGGGAAUGGCAUUCAAGACUGGUUAGCUAGAGUCUUGUAGAGGGGGUUAGAAUUCCAUGUGUAGCGGUGAAAUGCGUAGAGAUGUGGAGGAAUACCGGUGGCGAAGGCGGCCCCUGGACAAAGACUGACGCUCAUGUGCGAAAGCGUGGGGAGCAAACGAGGGAUUAGAUACC